UACGGGGGGAGCAAGCGUUGUUCGGAUUUACUGGGCGUAAAGGGCGCGUAGGCGGUCGUGACAAGUCACUUGUGAAAUCUCCGGGCUUAACUCGGAACGGUCAAGUGAUACUGUCGGACUAGAGUACAGAAGGGGCAACUGGAAUUCUCGGUGUAGCGGUAGAAAUGCGUAGAUAUCGAGAGGAACACCUGCGGCGAAGGCGGGUUGCUGGGCUGAUACUGACGCUGAGGCGCGAAAGCCAGGGGAGCGAACGGG
rnacentral:rRNA from 1 species